rnacentral:lncRNA from 1 species
GAGUUUCACAACCUUUGCCCCACUACGCUUUGUAUUGGAUUGGGAUGUCUACACUAUUAGAAAUAGUGUCGUGGUUGCCAUUUGCCCAUCCCUGCAUUCCACAAAAAACCAUAUCUAAAUCACCAUCCUCUAUCCUACCAUGUUGGUAGCUAUACAAACCUAAACAAUUAUAAUAAUCUUUAAUUCAUAUUUAUUUGAUGUCAAUUAACUUUUUUUUUCACUCAUUACCUACCUAAACACUAUUUUGCAUUCCAGUCUUCCAUAUAAUUUUAACACCCAUAAUAAACCAUCUCAUAUUUUUCAUAUCUCAAAGAAAGCCUAAGUUAAGGACUAUGAGAAUUAUAAACCCUAGGGUACAGUAACACAUACUAGGAUUGUAAUCAAUUUGAUUGAGGACGAACAUAACAUCAGAGAUUGUUUACCAGUUGUUAACAGAUUGCUGCUUCUUCAAGGCUCUCCGUUUCCCAAAAUUUUCUCUCUUCUUUCCUUCACCGACUACUCUCUAUGGCUGCUCGCAAUUUUCUUCCUCUCUUCCACCUCCUGUAGAAGGCUAUUGGCAAUUCCUCGCCUCCGC